rnacentral:rRNA from 1 species
UACGUAGGGGGCUAGCGUUGUCCGGAAUCAUUGGGCGUAAAGAGCGCGUAGGCGGCCAGAUAAGUCCGGUGUGAAAGUCACAGGCUCAACCUGUGAAUGCCGCUGGAAACUGUCUGGCUAGAGUCCGGGAGGGGCGAGUGGAAUUCCUGGUGUAGCGGUGAAAUGCGCAGAUAUCAGGAGGAACACCAAUGGCGAAGGCAGCUCGCUGGACCUUGUCUGACGCUGAGGCACGAAAGCCAGGGGAGCAAACGGG